GACAGCUUCUAACUAUUCCAAGAUCGCCUUCAAGUACUCCAAGCCCAAAACUGACUAACUAUCUCGGCCAGAUAAGUGUAAGAUGUGGGAGGUCCCCUGCUUGUUGCUUUCCUUAGACACCAACUGAGUUGGCCAGGUCAGACAACGGAACCAAUUGAAAACCACCUUUUUAAACCACUUGCCUUAGACACCGAGCAAUUAAUCAAUUCGAACCCGGUCUAACUUU
rnacentral:lncRNA from 1 species